GUUCAUGCCUGAUUGCACCCUAGCUUAUAUGUGAUUGCUCAUCUCUGGGGAUUGCCCACCUCUGCCCCCCGAAAAAGAACCAGGCCAUCAAAUGAAUGAGGUCAACCAAGAAUCACAGUGCUGUUCAUUUCAGACAUGGGAGCAGAAGACAAGAUUUCAGACUCAUACACACGGCGACCCCAUGCCCGACUUCAAAAAAACAGUGAUUCAUCCAGACACCAAAGCUCAGCAGCUCAGAGUCAACCUCAAAUAUAGUCAAAGCUCACCAAGUGCUCUCCCAAGAAAAAUAGAACAUAAGUGCCAGAUGACCUGCGGUAAAGACUCUUCUUCCAGAGAGUGGCUGGACUGUCCUGAUUUCAUCGCACCUACAUUAGCGUGUCAACAGGCCCUUGCAAUUCCCAACGAUCCCACUGGGCUUCUUUAUCAUUGAUUACCUGUCCAGUGCCACACAUUUCUACAAAUGCACUCUCUUUUCUUUACGGCUGCAAUGCAGGACCAUUAAAAUCGGGUGUAGGUGUUCAUUAAAAUCGGGCUGAUUGAAUGUCUUUUUUUUUUUUCUUGAUCAAGUAUCUCUACUGAGCUGUGAUUUAGCGAACAUCUUACACUCACCUCUGCUUUCAAGAAAGAUGAGAAACAUGUAACUUUCCGUUUACUGUUGACUGAGACAACAGUUGCCUGAAAAAUUAACUAGAAAUUGAAGUAAACACCAAUAAGGAAGUUACUUCAAAAUAAUUCUCAUUAUUUCUGACUUAUCGUUUGCACCUGAAACAUCUAAGGGGAGUGCCAAUUAAAAUUAUGUGUAUUGUGGGGCACCUGGGUGACCGUUUGACUCUUGGUUUUGGCUCAGGUCAUGAGCCAUGGGAUUGAGCCCCGAGUCGAGCUCCCAGCUGUGAGGUAGCUUCUUCUCCAUCUGCCUCUCCCUCUCCUUUGUCCUCUCUCUCUCUUUUUCCUUUCUCAAAUAAAUAUAUAAAAUCUUUAGAAAAAAAUAAAAAA
rnacentral:lncRNA from 12 species